rnacentral:rRNA from 1 species
ACCCCAAGUGAGAAUGCUGGCAUGAGUAACGAAAAAGGGAUAGCCCCUCGCCUUAAGCUUAUGGUAUUUAAAUUAAGUAACGGCCUCUAAGUUUAUAAUUGUCCUAAAGGAUUAAACGAUGAGAAAA